rnacentral:rRNA from 1 species
AUACGGAGGGGGCGAGCGUUGUUCGGAAUUACUGGGCGUAAAGGGCGCGUAGGCGGGCUGACAAGUCAGGGGUGAAAGUCCUGGGCUCAACCUGGGGACUGCCUUUGAAACUGUUAGUCUAGAGUCCGGGAGAGGAUGGCGGAAUUCCCAGUGUAGAGGUGAAAUUCGUAGAUAUUGGGAAGAACACCGGUGGCGAAGGCGGCCAUCUGGACCGGCACUGACGCUGAGGCGCGAAAGCGUGGGGAGCAAACAGGAUUAGAAACCCCGGUAGUCC